UAUUGCACAAUGGGGGAAACCCUGAUGCAGCGACGCCGCGUGAGUGAGGAAGUAUUUCGGUAUGUAAAGCUCUAUCAUCAGGGAAGAANNUGACGGUACCUGACUAAGAAGCCACGGCUAACUACGUGCCAGCCGCCGCGGUAAUACGUAGGGGGCAAGCGUUAUCCGGAUUUACUGGGUGUAAAGGGAGCGUAGACGGCUGUGCAAGUCUGAAGUGAAAGCCCGUGGCUCAACCGCGGAACUGCUUUGGAAACUGUAUAGCUUGAGUACUGGAGAGGCAGGCGGAAUUCCUAGUGUAGCGGUGAAAUGCGUAGAUAUUAGGAGGAACACCGGUGGCGAAGGCGGCCUGCUGGACAGAAACUGACGUUGAGGCUCGAAAGCGUGGGGAGCAAACAGG
rnacentral:rRNA from 1 species